GCCUGGAUGGCUCAGUCGGUUGAGCAUCCGACUUCGGCUCAGGUUACGGUCUCGCAGCUGGUGGGUUGAAGCCCCAUGUCAGGCU
rnacentral:tRNA from 1 species